AGUGUCUUGCCGCCACAUUACCUGCUAGUUUCCUGAGAAUUUGGGGGCCCCAACCGGAUGGCUGCAACUCAAGCUGUACUGCCCUCGUUCAGUUCAUUCUCAAACUUCUCCAACUCCAGUCAGGACAUGAAGGUGUGGAGGUUUGAGGAUGGCUCGCUGGGCUCUCUGGGCUUUGAUGCUCAGGACAGAAGGUCACUGCUAGAGUUCCACAGCGCUGAGCAGCAGGACCUGCCACCGGCCUUCAGGGAGGCCCAGCUGGACGACGAGCACAGUGCAAACUGGGACAUGGAGUUUUUACUGUCCAGCUGGGGCAGCACGUCACCUGAUCAGGGCACCAGUCAGGACUCCAACUCCCACCGGCCCCCUGCGGCUGGUCAAGACCCGGGCCGGCUGUUCCAGGGGAGCGUCCAGGAGCGGCCGGCCCUGAAGGAGCACGCAGGGCUGGACAGGCACUACGCCAGCACUGGCAGCUUGAUGGCCGAGCUCCUCUCCCCGGAGGAGUCCGUGAGCUGCUCCAUUCCAGAGCUCUACAACGGGGGCUACCUGGGAGAGCAGCAGGGGAAGCCGUACGCUCUCCACUCCGACACCACACACCAGUACGGCGUCCCGCUCGGACACAACCCAGAGGGCCCAAAUGACCACAGCAAGGUCAAGUCCUGGGAGUACGGCUACUUCCCUCAACUCCCGUCUUUAAUGGCGUUCCCAGAGUCCAGGUUCCCCCCCGUGGCGUCUGUGGACGCAGAAGCCGCCGGGGGUCACUCCCAACGCUCGGCCUACAACAUCCUCCCAAACUACCACCACCACCCAAAGCUGUACCCCCACCAGCUGGGCCCUGCUGCCUUUGUCCACAGGCAGGCAGCAGGGGUCUACAGCUCCACCACCAGCUUGCUCCCUGACUCCACAGUGCCCUCUACGGGCCUGGAAGGGAAACGCGGGCGCAAAGGGGUGGCCAAGAAGAGGGCCGCGGUGCACAGCUGUGAAUACCCCGGCUGCAGCAAGACCUACACCAAGAGCUCACACCUCAAAGCGCACCUGCGCACUCACACAGGUGAGAAGCCCUACCUGUGCUCGUGGGAGGGCUGUGGGUGGAAGUUUGCCCGUUCGGAUGAGUUGACCCGCCACUUCCGCAAACACACGGGCCAGAAGCCUUACGAGUGCAUGCUGUGCCAGAGAGCCUUCUCCCGCUCUGACCAUCUGGCCCUGCACAUGAAGAGACAUAUAUGAGGUCCAACAGCAUGGGACACACACGGACACACACACACACACACCCACACACACACACACACACACACAUAACACAUCACUCAUGCACAGCCACAGGUCAAUUCACAUCCUACAUGAUACAUGACUUAUCAAUGUAGCAAAUAACAAAUUAAUGUACAGUAGAUGAACUGUGAUAUUGUUAUAUUUCAGCUAUGGCUUUCCAAUAGUGCAGUGCAAACGGUAGACAGGAAUGACCAGGUCAGCCCCACUGAGGACCUGAGAAGAAUCUGACCUGAGGAGGUGCACGCUGACAUACAGCUGCUUUAGCUCAUUUACAGGGCCAAGUUCAGGGCAGCGUGAAGCUUCAGUCUGAAUGAUCUCACCCCAUAGCUAGCAGCUCAACGUAUCUGAAGGUAGCUCUGACGGCGUGAGGAACACUACUUGAAGCCCCUCACCUGAGGGAACUGUGCUAAAUGGCCACACAUGGAACAGGAACCAUGGCCGCUGUAGGUUCAGUCCUGGCUUUUAUUUUUGCAAAAAUAGCAAAUAUGUACAGUAUAAGGUAUCUUUUUUUUAAUUUCUUUUCCUCUUUUCCUCUUAUAUUUAAUUUAGAUGAAAUUUACUUUACAACAUUUACAUACCUUCAGCUCAGAGUAAAUAACACUUUAAAAAUUUUAAUGUAAAAAUAGGAAAGAUAGUUGAUGGCACACGUGGAUUAACAUCUAUGGAGCUGAACUGUAGGUUUGUUUUUGUACAUCUAGACAGACAGACGUACCUUCCAUACCUUCCAUUACACCAAUGAUUUCCUAGCAUUAUCUAUUUCAUAUUUAUUCAUCAUUUUUUCGCAAGGUCUAUUAUGUGAAAUAUUUACUUAUUACUAAGAGUUGUCAGUUGAAACUGUCUCUAUUUAUUCAUUGUUACCCUUAGAAGAUGCUACAGUAAGUUUUUGUUAUGGCUUUGUAUGUAUUUUAUAAAGUAUCCUUUUUAUGUUUUCUAUACUUUUGCAAAUAAAGCACUGGGGAUAAA